CUGGCCCCGCUUGUUAUGGGUUGGCUUCGCCCUCUCCUCCCUUCCUUGUGUUCUCAGUUAGCAAAUGGGUGAACUGUAGGAUGCAGUGAGCUGACCAAUUAGCUGCCAGCUAUGCUCCGUUACAGUUACGCCUCUAGUUUUGCGUCUCUGCACGUACUUUUGGCGCCUGCACCUGAGCGUAGGAGGCUGCGUUUUCCACUUGAGAGUAAAAGAGAGCUGUGCCUGAAUCCACUGUUGUCACGGAGCUAAAGGCAGUGAAUUCCGCUAAAAUGGUCAGGUUUGGGGAAAGAGGUGGAAACAUCGUGCAGCUGAGAUCCAUUCCACAGAGUCAUACCGAUCCACAUGUUCCAGACGUUCUUCCAGAGAUUCGUAGAUUUCGCAGAGCACUUUCAUAAAACCUUGCUAGUGUGCUUGUUAA